UACGAAGGGGGCUAGCGUUGCUCGGAAUCACUGGGCGUAAAGCGCACGUAGGCGGAUCGUUAAGUCAGGGGUGAAAUCCUGGAGCUCAACUCCAGAACUGCCUUUGAUACUGGCGACCUUGAGUUCGGGAGAGGUGAGUGGAACUGCGAGUGUAGAGGUGAAAUUCGUAGAUAUUCGCAAGAACACCAGUGGCGAAGGCGGCUCACUGGCUCAUUACUGACGCUCAGGCGCGAUAGCGUGGGGAUCAAACAGG
rnacentral:rRNA from 1 species